AUGAGGCACCAGCAAACAUUAGGAGAGGCUGGAGCCAGCUUGGCUUUCCAGCUCCAGCACCUCCUGUUCUUCCACCUGUUGGCAUACAAGAUGCCACACAGUUUGGGGUUUGCGAGGACUGUGGUAUGUCUCACCAGAGCUCAGAGACCUUGGACAGAAAGGGACUGAAAAUCCAGAUGAGCAGGUGCCAGCAUCAUCGGCUUCUGAAGGAUCCCAGACAACACUGCCAAGAGGUCCUGUGGAAGCCCUGGCUUCCUCUCCCCGCCCAGAAGGAGCACUUCAUGCAAGCCCCAGAUGGAUGCUAAUGUCUGUGCCAGAAAAAAAAAAAAAAGCACACAUCACAUGUUCAGUUUUUAGCUGAGAAACACUCUACUUCGGGAAAUGGCACCAGUAGAAUAGUCUAGAUUUCAAAGGAGCACAGAAUGACAUUGCUUAAACACUAGAAUACUGACUCUACAUCUGACCGUGGAAGUGACCAGUGAUCAGAAAGGCAUCAAGUGCUGUGCAAAAGACCAGUCCAUGGUAUGUGAUGCUAAACUCAGAAGCUAGUUUCCCAGGGUUUAUAAAGCAACUGUUGCUGCUCUUCAUUGUAAAGCAUUUACAUUUUGACUCACAGAUCCUCAUUUGGCCUAAGUGGAAAAUACUCUUACUUCAGCUAUAGCUACCAAGCCUUCCCCAUUAAAGUCCAACCCAUACUUUAAAUUUAAUACA